UACGGGGGGGGCAAGCGUUGUUCGGAAUUACUGGGCGUAAAGGGCUCGUAGGCGGCCAACUAAGUCAGACGUGAAAUCCCUCGGCUCAACCGAGGAAUUGCGCCUGAUACUGGCGGGCUAGAGAUCGGUAGGGGUGAGUGGAACUCCAGGUGGAGCGGUGAAAUGCGUAGAUAUCUGGAGGAACACCGGUGGCGAAAGCGGCUCGCUGGAUCGAUACUGACGCUGAGGUGCGAAAGCUAGGGUAGCAAACGGG
rnacentral:rRNA from 1 species